rnacentral:lncRNA from 1 species
CAAAUGUUGACAACUGGAAGUAGGGACACUUGAGGGGGUCUUGCCCUCAUUCUCUCAGCUCACACAUCUGCAGUGUGAGCUCAGUCCUAAGACAUAAUGCCAAAGGAUCAGAACAGGAAUCAUCUGUCCCCUCUCCCCUGCCCUUGCUUCACACAGGGGAAGCAGCUCAGAGCAAGGAUGGGAGAGGAAACACAUAAGCCACCCAAGCUUGAGAUCCAUCCUUGGCUCCGAAGACCAUCCCUUUUGAUCAUGACUGCAUCGUACUUAUACAUUUUCUCCUGGAAUGGAGAUUAACCUAGGUUCUAGCAUAUGUGUGAAGUAAUGUUUAAUCUCAAACAGUAAAGGGAGAGACUCCCACAAUGGUCAAGUAGUAGCCAUCCUGUGUUCCAGAGAAUGACCGUUAACAAGAAUCCAGUACACGUGGGGCACUUGGAGUUUAACACCAGAACACGUAUGCUGCACACGAGAACCCUUUGGCAUUAGGGAGAUUUUCUUUAGGGACCAGAACAUGUCUUGCAGAAACCCAGUUACGAAGUCUAUUUGGAAUGCUAUCUUAAGUUAAUCUAGCCAUUCAUCUGCCUAGUACUUCCCAGGAAUGGGCAUAGAACAAAAGCCAAGACUACAAGAUGCAGGGAACAGAUUGUAAGUAGCUCACUGAUGGGCCUUGAGAUGACACAUCCUUUGUAGAGAGGGAACAGCCGCCUUCUGCUUCGAGGAAAGAUGAAGUAGCAG